UAUGUGGGACUUGACGAUCUGCAAGG
rnacentral:sRNA from 1 species